GGACUGGUGGUUCAGUGAUAGAAUUCUCACUUCCUGUGUGGAAGACUCAGGUUCGAUUCCUAGCCAGUGUA
rnacentral:tRNA from 1 species